AGUUGGAGGGCAUCGUCGACUGCAUGUUUCUUCGGAGGUAAAACUUUCACUCGGUGAAUUCAGGAUUUAUUCCGACGACACAGACAGAGCGGUGGGGGAGAAAACGAUUCGACAAGUAUUUGCAGUAAGUUGCGGAGCUUCCUGCACCAGUACUCGUGCUGCUUCUCCAUUACGGGCCCUGCUGAAUGUCAUCCAUGAAAGGUCCACAUGAUGACAACUGGCUUUCUCCUGCCCUUUGUUUCAUCUUUUUUUUUUUAUACUGUUGAAUGAAGUGGACUUGUAAACUCUGUACGUUUUUUUGUGGAAAUCGUAAGAGAAUCCUUGAACAUUACCAAAGUAGCCACAGACAUUACGGAAGAAAUUGUCCACUACCCUGCAUAUACAAAGACUGUGCGCAGUAUUUCAGAUCUAAAAAAUCCUUGCAGGUCCACUUGAGAGAUCAUGGACUCAUAGAGCAGAGUAGUGGACUUGUUGGCUUUAAAGUAAAAUGCUUGUUGUGUGACUUUGAAGAGGCAGUUGGCCUAAAACAAUAUACUGCUCAUCUAGGUAAGCACCUGAGGAAUAGGGAGACCGUUACCUGUCCUUUUAAUCAGUGUCUUUUCAAAUCAAAUGUUUUCUCUAGUUUUACGUCACAUAAAUCUCGUUGUCACCCACUUUGUACUUUAAAAGACUUAAAGACAGAGAUCACUGUCCAAGAAUGUGAAUUGGCAGAAUGUGAAACGGCUGAAUCACAGUCACAAGUUGCUGAUGACAGUGAUUUUCAUGUGCCACUUGAGGAUAAUUCUGAUAAUGAACCAGAGUACCAUGACGCCACUGAAAAAAUUCAGGAAAGGCUUGCAUCAUUACUUCUGCGAAUGCAAGCAGUCCUGCAUGUUUCCAAAUUAGCCACUCAAGAAAUAGUCAGUGAAUUUUAUGACAUUGGCGUUGUGAUUGGUGAACUAAACGAGUAUACAGUAAAAAAGGUCUUAAGGCAGCACAGUUGUAACAUUGAUGAAAACACUGUAACUUUGCUAACAAACGCCCUCCACGGCCUCAAUCCACUCGGCUCCAUUUCCCAGAGUGGGUGUCUGGGGUCAGAUCAAAAAAGGUUGUCCUAUUUCAAAGAAAAGUUUGGUGUCAUAGACCCAGUUGAGUAUGUGUUAGACUUGUCAUUAAAGAAAACCUUUGUUUAUGUACCAGUUCUAAAAACACUGCAAAGAUUGUUAAAUAGGGGUGAUGUUAUUGACAAAAUUUUAGAGGAAGCCAAUACAGAAUCACUACCUGGACAUUACAAGACCACAUUUGAUGGAUCAUAUUUCAAAGACAACCCACUUCUGUCCGGGGAAGAUCAAACAAUUUCUUUAGGUCUUUAUAUCGAUGAUUUCGAGGUUUGUAAUCCUCUAGGCACCUCCAGAAAAAAACAUAAAUUGUGUGCAAUAUACUGGGUAAUAGCAAAUUUACCUGUUAAAUACAGAGCAUCAUUGUCUAGCAUAUAUCUUGCUCUCUUGUGUAAAAGUGUUGAUGUUAAAACAUUUGGGUAUGACAGGAUUGUAGAACCACUGUUGAAAGAUCUCCAAUUGCUUGAAAACCAAGGGAUUUACAUAAACAGGUUGGGAACCAGUCUAAAGGGAACAGUGUUAUAUGUAUCAUCUGAUAAUUUGGGAGCACAUUCAUUUGCUGGUUUUCAGGAGUCCUUUAAUGUUGACAAGUUUUGUCGUUUUUGUUUAGCCAGUCGUAGUGAUAUUCAGAGUUGUUCUGUGCAAAGUAAGUCAUUUUUGUUGAGAACAAAUGAGUCCUACAAUGAGAGUAUUUCCAGGCUGAAGGAGAAUGAGUGCUUGAAAAGUGUUGACGGAGUGAAAAGAGACUGUGUAUUGAACAAAUUAUCUUACUUUCAUUGUAUAAAAGGUUUUCCUCCUGACUUCUUACAUGACCUGUUAGAAGGUGUUGUACCUUUUGAACUCUGUUUGUGUUUGAAAAAAUUAAUUCAACAGAAGUACUUUACAUUGGACUAUUUGAACACUGUCAUACAGCGCUUCCCCUACAAAUUUUCUGACAGUGUUAACCGUCCACAGAGAAUUCCAGAAAAAGUACUUAAAAGUAAAACUAUAGGAGGCAACGGCCAUGAAAAUUGGACCCUUUUGAGGUUGCUGCCUCUGUUCAUAGGGGAUGUUGUUCCUGAAAAUGAUGAUGCAUGGGCUGUAAUUCUGGAACUUAAAGACAUUGUGGAACUUUUGGCAUCCUCCAGUUUUACAGAUGAAAGCUUGUGUUAUCUUGAUGCCAAAAUAAGUGAGCACAGAAAACUAUUACUGACUGUGUUUCCAGGACUGCAACUGAAACCUAAACAUCAUUUUAUUGAACACUACACUCAUUUGAUCCGCUGCUUUGGACCACUGGUAGAGUUCUGGACGUUACGAUUCGAAGCGAAACAUAGUUUCUUCAAAAAAGUGGUUCGUGAUGUCAAUAAUUUCAAAAACAUUCUAUUGACUCUGUCCCUCAGACAUGAACUUAUGUUGGCAUACUACCUGGACACGCCCAACCUGUUUAAACCAACAGUGGAAUUAAAAGGAGUAUCAAAUAUUUCCCUGGACAUUCUGGCCCCCUCUGUCAAACAAGUGAUUGAGAAGAAAUGUAGAACUCUGAGCAGUGUAUCUCUGGCCACAACCGCAUACAUUCACGGGACAAGAUACACCAAGGGAAUGUUCUUGUCAGUUGGAAGCACAAGUGGCCUUCCUGAUUUUUGUAAGAUUAUACAUGUGUUGCUUGUAUGCAACAAGCUAUUUUUUCUUCUGGAACCUUUCUCAGCUUGGUAUCUGGAGCACCUACGAUGUUACGAAGUCUGCAAGAGAGACCCUACUCAACUGACGGUAGCCGAACCUGAAGACCUGAACCACUACAUCCCAUUGUCAGCAUACACCGUGCACGGCCGACUUCUGGUUUCACCGAAGGCAUUUCCUGUACAUUAAGUUAAAGUUUGGAGCAUCAGCUCAUAGCUUCUGUCGUGUGUGUGUGUGUUGUCAGACGUCAACGACAGAGUACAAGACGGUUCAAGUCUGCAAGAGAGACCCUGCUCAACUGACGGUAGCUGAACCACUUACAUCCCCGUUGUCAGCAUACACUGUGCAAGGCUGACUCGUGGUUUCAGGGAUUUCUUGUACAUUAAGUCAGACGUCAACAACAGAGUACAAGACGGUGCUAGUUCAUCCUGUCCAAGAUCAACUCCAUCGAGCUGAAGAAAACCAGCAGUCACAAGUCCACUUAAGAUCUGUCUGCUUGUGUAGGCCUCUCUCAGUUUCAUCAUGCUGCUGCGCAUCAUCUUGAGCGAAAAUGACAUAAGAAAGGUUACCAUUGACACCUUGCCGGAGACUGUUCAUGACUUCUGCUCAAUCCUGAAGACCAAACUGGGACUGGAGGGCGACCUUGUGAUUCAGUAUCAGGACCCCGAGUUCGACAAUGAACUGUGCAAUUUAAGUAGCAUGUCGGAGCUUCCUAAAGAUAAAGCAACUUUGAAAGUGCACACCAAGUCUUCUGAAUACAACACAGACUCAACUCUAGACACGGCAAGCCUGUCAUCAUCUUCCCUCGAGGAUAGCCCCCAUGGUACCCAAACUCGUCAGCUGCCUCAACCAUUCGUCAUUCCUGCUUUUUCUUUUGAUGUUGAGUUGAAACUGAGGCAAGGGAAUGAUGCCUUCCAUAGAGAUGGGAGCCUUCUUGACAUUUCAAAAGACAUGAAAUCGGACAUCUUAGACAAGUUAGCAGAAGCCAUAUAUGCUCACAAUCCCUACCCAUCACGUGAGGACUAUGAUCAUGUGGCCCAAGCUCUCAUCAACAAGCAUCCUUGUCUGAAGGAACCAGGGUCUGUUGGUGGGUGGUAUUGCUGGAAGUUUAGUUUAAAGUUCAAAAUGGGAAAUUUCCGGCAGAAAAUGCGAGUGGCUGGUUGCUCCGAGCUCAGAGUGAACGCACGUACCUCUGGAUCAACAAGUUCAAAAAGACUAAAGAGGGCCAGUUCAAGAAAAUGUUACACAUCUAAAGCUACUCAUUUAUUUGUAUCGACAAAUUGAUACUUGGAAUGUUCAGUUUUUGAUUGUAUGAAGGACUUAGAGCAAGUCUUAAUAUGUUGAAAUAUGUCCUGUGGUGUUGAAAAAGAAUGUUAUCCUUGAUCUUUGUGGCCCUCCACUGACAACAUUUUCAUUUUUGGUGACAGCCAGAUGAGCAUUAUGUAAAGCCAUUUGUUCUCUUGUAUGGCAGUAUUGUCACAAUGCUUGCAAUGCUGUAAAUUUGAAGGAGGUUCAGUAAAUCGUGACAGGUGUGUGCUCCAAUAAAUAUUUAACUGGCUGCA